AAGAGGGCAGUACACUGACACCAGUAUGCUGGCAGCCAGCAGAAGUGUAAACGGGGCAACAAGACAACGUGAUAUCCCUACAGAUCGUCCAUUUCGUUUCGUGUUUCUCUCCUGGAUGGAUAGCAAAAUUAUUAAAAUGUUUUUCGAAGUGAUCAAAUUAUUUUUUUACAAGUUCUUUAUUUUUCAACUAUGUAGUUGAUAAUGUGUAUUGUUAUAAUUAUAGCGAAUACUGCAUAAGUUUACAUAAAACUAGUAGAUUGGCACAUGUUUCUGAUGAAUACUCUGAUUAAUGAAUGGCAAUUUGUCAAAACCAAUUUGUGACACCAUCCUUAAAGCGAUGUUUGUACACUUCCGGUGAAACUCUCAACGCGUGAGCAUGCGGGUUCGCACUAGUGCGAUGGAAAUUUAAGUAUUUCUUGCUCGAGGAAGAAAGUUUUUUAGCGUCACGGUGUGAAUCAGUGUUGCGACGCCGCGAAACUAUCAUCGGGAGUUAAUGUGAAAGCAAUUAAACUCGAAAAUAAGAAAUUAAUCUAACAAUAAUCAGGCGAGAUGGGCCAUACUUGGCCUCAGCCUGUCACGUUAGUGACACAGCAAAUAAAAAAAAAGAUGUUCGUACAAUAUGGAUACGUCUACCUUAGGUAUUCGUACUAAAAGACAACAUCCCGAACAUAGUUGAAGCAGUCUAUCGGGAAUUGAUGCAGACUGGAGUAACGUUUGCAAAAGAUGAUGUCCACUUGCUUGUGAUGGUACUGGCUCUGAAGUUAAUUUACGGGUAUAGUUCAAAGGACUUGGCCUUCAAGGGAAAAUUCGGCUGUGGUUUACACUUGCUAUAACAGAAUCCUUGGAAACGUAACAUACAGUGGAACUUAAUAUACAGUUUUAUUCAUCAGGCAAAAUUCAACACAAAAUCAAUAAACGAAUAUAAAAUUAAUUGAAAACUGAAAA